rnacentral:rRNA from 1 species
GAUGAACGCUAGCUACAGGCUUAACACAUGCAAGUCGAGGGGCAUCAAGGUCUAGCAAUAGAUUGUUGGCGACCGGCGCACGGGUGAGUAACACGUAUCCAACCUACCUUUCACUCGGGGAUAGCCUUUCGAAAGAAAGAUUAAUACCCGAUAGUAUGUUUUUACCGCAUGGUAAUUCCAUUAAAGUUUUUCGGUGAUUGAUGGGGAUGCGUUUCAUUAGAUUGUUGGUGAGGUAACGGCUCACCAAGUCUUCGAUGAAUAGGGGUUCUGAGAGGAAGGUCCCCCACACUGGUACUGAGACACGGACCAGACUCCUACGGGAGGCAGCAGUGAGGAAUAUUGGUCAAUGGGCGUUAGCCUGAACCAGCCAAGUAGCGUGAAGGAUGACUGCCCUAUGGGUUGUAAACUUCUUUUAUAUAGGAAUAAAGUGUACCACGUGUGGUAUUUUGUGUGUACUAUAUGAAUAAGGAUCGGCUAACUCCGUGCCAGCAGCCGCGGUAAUACGGAGGAUCCGAGCGUUAUCCGGAUUCAUUGGGUUUAAAGGGUGCGUAGGCGGGCUAUUAAGUCAGCUGUGAAAGUUUGAGGCUCAACCUUAAAAUUGCAGUUGAUACUGGUAGUCUUGAGUAUAGUAGAGGUUGGCGGAAUUCGUGGUGUAGCGGUGAAAUGCUUAGAUAUCACGAAGAACUCCUAUUGCGAAGGCAGCUGACUAUGCUAUAACUGACGCUGAUGCACGAAAGUGUGGGUAUCAAACAGGAUUAGAUACCCUGGUAGUCCACACAGUAAACGAUGAAUACUCGUUGUUUGCGAUAUACCGCAAGCGACCAAGCGAAAGCAUUAAGUAUUCCACCUGGGGAGUACGCCGGCAACGGUG